rnacentral:rRNA from 1 species
AAUUAAUUCCAACAUUAUUAAAGAACCCUUAUUUAAAACUGAGUAAUUCUAUACCAAUAUAGAAAAUUUUAUGUUAAAACUAGUAACAAGAAGAAGAACUUCUUAUAAAAUGCAAGUGUAAAUCAGACAGGACAUCCCACUGAUAAUUAUUGCCAAUGAACAUAAAGUAGCAACCUCACAAGAAAACCCUACUAAAUAAAGCAUUAACCUAACACCAGAGCAUUACAAAAAAGAUUAAAAGGAAGAGAAGGAACUCGGCAAAUAUUAACCCCGCCUGUUUACCAAAAACAUCGCCUCUUGAAUAAAUAUAAGAGGUCCAGCCUGCCCAGUGACUCUGUUCAACGGCCGCGGUAUCCUAACCGUGCGAAGGUAGCGUAAUCACUUGUUCUUUAAAUGAGGACUAGUAUGAAUGGCACCACGAAGGUUAUACUGUCUCCUCUCCCUAAUCAGUGAAACUAAUCUUCCCGUGAAGAAGCGGGAAUAUAUCUAUAAGACGAGAAGACCCUAUGGAGCUUUAAACCAAGUAACACUUGCACUAACUUAAUACAAAUUUCAGAAAAACCUUAUUUACCCAUGCAAGAUCAUUACCAGUUUUAGGUUGGGGUGACCGCGGAGUAAAACACAACCUCCACAUUGAAAGGAACCCACUCCUCAGCCAAGAGUAACAUCUCUACGCACCAUUACAAUGACAUUAAUUGACCCAAUGUUUUGAUCAACGAACCAAGUUACCCUAGGGAUAACAGCGCAAUCCACUUCAAGAGCUCCUAUCGACAAGUGGGUUUACGACCUCGAUGUUGGAUCAGGGUAUCCCGGUGGUGCAGCCGCUACCAAAGGUUCGUUUGUU